GGUACUGUUUUCUCGAUUAAUAACAAGACACAAAAACGAAUGUUCACGUUUACUUGGACGUUAUUUAAGUACAUAAGUAAAACUGAAUUUUUAUAAACCUCGGUAAGGAAAGGUAACAGGAUAAUUAGGUACACGGCAAAUAAAAAUAGGUAAAUAUUGGUCUGUCCAAUUACAUAUACACCUACCUAACCAACAAUGGGAUCUCAAGACAAAAGAAGCGUGCAAGAGAUGGCGCUAAAUAAUCCAAUUAUUUUGACCGAAAUAUUCAAGCAGGCCUCCUGCCCGGUCAAAAUUUCUCGAUUAGUUUGCCACUUCUGGAACGACGUGGUUCUCUCCCUGCCAAUCCCGAGACUCGCGUUUAACCUGACCACCAAGCAGCAAGAGGAUCUCCUUUUAACCGCCGUACAGUAUAGGCAGAAAGUCUUUCCACCCUCAUACUUUUUGCACUUAAAGUGCGAUAUUGCUCGAGAAGCUUUAUCGAAUGAAAUGAAAUUUUGCACAAUUACUUAUCGCGAUGUAAGGUUUUCGAAACCAUGUUAUGGAUAAU